rnacentral:lncRNA from 1 species
UUCACUUUUUGCUUUUUGCAUGAAAUCAGUGAUCACAAAAAACCCAUAAAAAACAAGAAUAAAAGCAAUCUUUUUCAUCUGCAUAAUGGUUUGCUUGUUUAAAUGCUAAAGUUUUUUUCAUUAACCAAAAUCAUUAUGCAGGUUGAUCCUAAAACCCAUUGAACAUAAUGAUCCAACGCCAUCUCCCAAUCUUGAAUUCUUUGUAUUU